rnacentral:tRNA from 1 species
GCCUUCGUGGUGUAGUGGUCAGCACGCUCGACGAAGUCCAUGGUUCGAUUCCCGGCGAAAGCG